CUAGAUCCUUGGACUUCCAUUCACAGCUGCUGCUGACCAUUGUUGGGGAGUUGGGCUUCAGACUGCAAGUCAUCAACAAGUUCCUUUACCAUAUAGAGAAUGCCCAUAAGUUAUAUGACUCUAGAGGACCCUGACUAAGACAGCAGAUCAGGCUGGCUGAGGCUUUCUCUGCUGCAGGAGGAUGCCUGGUAUGAAAGCAUGGAGGGAGAGUGUCCUAUGAAGAUGUAGGUAACAUCUACAAGUCAAGGAGAGACAACACCUGGCCCGCUGAUACUCUGAUGUUGGUCUUCCAGACUCCUAAGCACAAGAACAUGAUUAUGUGCUGCUGGGCACAGUCAGGCUGCGCUAUGUCGUCAUGGCAACCCUCAUAAACUGAUAAUGCCACCCUAUGUCUUGGUUCAGAGACCAUUUGCUUCAGGGUCGCACUGGUGCAGAAGAAACGCAUAGUGAUAAACUCGAUGGUAGAAAGGAUUUACUAAUGGUCCUGCCUGAGGGAUGCUAAGCCACACACGUGGAAUUAGGUAAAGAAGCACUGCCUCCACCACACCCCAGGGAUGAGUAGUCUGCUAGCCCAGUUAGAGUUCAGGGAAAUGUUCAAUGCUAGGAUGGAAACUUUUGUUUACCAAGACUGGCCAGCCACUAGGCCCAUCCCCUUAUCAAAGAAGUUACGUCCAGGAAACCGUGCAGGAUUACAACCACCUUUACAGCCUGACCUGCUGUAAAACCCCAGUUCUUGGGAAACCCCGUACUUCUGCCAGGUGAACAAGAUGACCCCAUGUAACAACCAUUUGAAAGGAACAACCCUGAAGCACUUAAGAAAUAAUUCCGGCACUAAUAUCUUUGCUGUUUAAAUCUCCUGUCUGCCAAAAAGCCAGAUCUGCAGUCUAACUGCCUCUGGUUGAACUGUUCAAAGUGUAACCUGGGGCCGGGACCUGAAAGAGAUUUAAGGAUUUCAGUGUAUGUGAAGCUCACAAGUCUAAGGUGUAUAUAAGUUAGCAAAAUUCAUUUGAGGCCGACUCUUCUUUGGGCAUUAGCAAUAGCUGACCUUGUGCCUUUUCAGUAAACAACUUCUUCGAUCUGUAAGUGUGCAGAGUGAGUUCUCCCUGGGAAGGCGUGUCAUUUCUACCGCAGCGCAGGCGGCAGGCCUCCUGUGAAGAGUCAGGAGAUGGGGGUGAGGUAGAGGCCCUUUGAGUCCUGCAUGUGUUCAGAGUCCCAAUGUUCCAGCACAUGGACCAGGGUUGCUCACUGGCACUGGGACUCCUGUGGUGUGAGAUGGAGCACCUGUGGGCCACAGUUUGUCCCCUGAGGUCCUGCACUUAGUGAAACCUCUAUCCACUCAUUCUUUUAGAAAUUUGCUAAUUCUUAAGUGCCCCGAUUUUUUUUGAGAAGUUAACGAGUCUGGGAAAACAAAACCGGGAAGGCACAAUGAAGCCUACUCAGUGGACAUCCAGUUGGAGUUUGAGGGGCAAGAGCAAUUGGGAAGGAAAUGUAGAUACACACCACCAAGCACUUUCCACCAAGCCCUUUAACACAGCACCGCUUCCCAGGCCUAAUCCUGGGCCCCAACGCCUCAAAGCUCAACUCAAGCUCCAACACCCUCGUAGUUUCAUCCAGGCACCUGGAUGGUGUCACCCAGAACGCAGGCACGGUGCCUUGCUCCCUCCCAUAGCUACCACUUAUGCAGGUACCUGCAGUUCAUUUCAGUUAUCUUUAACUCUCACACGCCUGAAGGUGUAGGCAGGUGUCCUGACCAUGGUUUAUCAGCUGCAGAAGCUGAGAAGCAGGGAGGCACUUAAGUCUUAAGACUUCACAGUGGGUAGGGAUGGGAUUGGAACCUGCCUGCGCCUGUGUGCUUCUGAGGGCACCCUGUUAGGGUCCUGCUCCUCCAUCUGGACAGACAUCUUGAAAGUGCAGCUCUAUAUGCUUCCUGUAACAUGGAGGCUGACAGAGGAGAAGUCUCACUGAAGGCAGAGACAAUGGCUACAUGCGGUUUCCAAGAAUCCUGACUGACUCAUUCCUGCUACAGAACUGAGUGGAAACUCAUAAAGAAGAGAGGCUUAUUUGCCUCAGAAGUCCAGGCUAUGAGGCCAGCAUGUGAUUGACACACCUAAAGGCCUGGUGCCACGUCAGAAUGAAGUGGCAGGCAGCACACAGGCAGACCAAGCCGGUAUGCCUGAGUCUCUCACAUUCUCCAGCCGUUCGCUCACCACGGGGAGGCCAUUACAUGAUUUCAUUUAAUCCCAGUUACUGCACAAAGUCUCUUUCUACAAAUCCCAUCAGCGCAUGAAUUAGGAGUUCAGGUUCCAACACGGAGUUGGAGGGAGACAAAGACUCCAACCACAGUCGAUCUAGAUGCGCGUUUUGAAAGCCAAGCUCUCCCUUGGUCUUGGUCACAAGGGCUGAUGAGGCCAAGGUUGUCCACACUGUGCAGUCUGUAGUUCCACUUCAGGCUCACUGGUCUUGCUAACUGAGGUGGAUCAAGCCAGGAUGUGGCUUCCAUGCUUAAAAGCCCACCAUGAGAAAGACUCUGGACUGCUCUCGGGCCCUGAACAAACACCCAGUGACGUCACUGGCCAGCUUACGAAGACUUUCUAUUGACUUAAACCCAUGUAGUCCUCACUGGAAGAGGGGUGUAUGAGUGAAAGGGAUUCUGGGCCUGCUCCUCCCCUGACCCAAACCUGCUGUGGUCCAGGCUCCAGAAACCAGGAAGAUUCUUCUCUCUGCCUAUUCCUGUGAAGGUCGCAUGAUUGGCAGAGGCUGGUUUGAAAACACAACUCCAGACAAGAGCUAGGUAGGAAGGGAGCGGGUCUGUGAAUGUGUGUACACAUUCGUCAGCGCCCCCACCUGGAUUCAGCCACCUCUAUAAUGUCUUGUUUCCUGGGGGCAGUUUCCAGCCACGGGGGUCUCCUGUCAACCCUCAGUUCCCGAUGCACCUCUUUAAUUCUACCCUUAGAUCCGAGGGCUUCCCAAGCGUGCCCUCGGGCAUUCCCUCAGUUUUGUUCUCUUGGCUUUAGACUUCUCUGAAACCAUUCUACUCAUGGAGUGUAUUGCCCAGACAGGAAAAGUAGGCCAAGGAUUAAAACAGAAGAAAGGACUUCCAGAAGUAGUGUAAGUAUUACCCGAAGCUAUUUUGAACUUGAGACUGUGAAACGAGGAGAGACUGUUUGGUGGGGACGGCUGCUGUCACUGACGGCUCAGGAAGAAGACAUUAGCCAGUGCCUGAGCCUUCCAUCCAUCGAACAUGGCAUUGCACUCUGAAAUGAUAAUACUGCCCGUACAAGGACAGCCUUGAAAUCUAAAUGCUCUAUCAGCUAGGCCACCGUGAAUAUCCACGGUCGAUUGGAAACAAGGUUUGACCAGCCAGCCACGUGUCUGAGGACGGUGUGCCACCCAGGGCGAAAGUGAAGCUUCCGAGCAGAUGUGUCCAGGGCUGUCUCAGAUAGUCUAAGCAGCAGGAGGAAGCGUUCUGGCUCACCCUCCCCUGGCCCAGCUCUGCAGCACGCUGAGACGGAAGCUUUGCAGAUGAAAUGUGUGCAUUUAGGGGGAGUGAAGUCUGCAGUGGGAUCAAGGUGGCGGGGUUGGAAGCAGGCUGGCCAAAUUCAAGGCUCCCUGCAGAGAGAGGUCUUGACCCAGGAGCUAACAGAAGGAGGAAGAUAGAAGUUUGAUGGUGUCUGGGUGAAAGGGUGGGCCAUGCGCUGGAAUCCCAGGCGGCCCAGGCAGGAGAGGAGGUGACCCACACGGCAGGCCGCCAUGAAACCACACUGGACUUUUUCUUGCCAGGCUGCAAUGGUGGUGGCAGGCUCCGCUGGUGUGGAGGCAUUAUCUCAUGUAGUCCUGUUUCCCCCUUUCACACGGGGAAGAAUGGAGAAGAGAAAACAAGACGAUCAUUUAAGUCCUGUGAGGUUUCCUGGAAAGCAACUGGUUUGGCUCCCAUUCCAACCUCACUACCAGGUGCUCUUGUUGUAGGUGCCUGCAGUGGGCUAGCCAUCAUGGUGCCUGGCUGAUAAAGUUCCUACUUUCCCACACGCUUCUAUGCAACACAGCUCCUCUCAGGAAAGCAUUUAACAUUUAUCUGACCUCAUAAUCAGGCUUUACAGCUAUACACAUGACAAAUGUUUACUUCUAGAAUAUACAAGCAACAACACC